rnacentral:rRNA from 1 species
CUACGGGGCGCAACAGUGGGGAAUAUUGGACAAUGGGGGAAACCCUGAUCCAGCAAUGCCGCGUGUGUGAAGAAGGCCUGCGGGUUGUAAAGCACUUUCGGUUGGGAGGACUGCUUCUAGCACUAAUAUUGUUGGAAGUUGACGUUACCUUCAGAAGAAGCACCGGCUAACUCCGUGCCAGCAGCCGCGGUAAUACGGGAGGGUGCAAGCGUUAAUCGGAAUUACUGGGCGCAAAGCGCGCGUAGGCGGCUAGAUCAGUCGGGUGUGAAAGCCCCGGGCUUAACCUGGGAACUGCAUCCGAUACUGUCUAGCUUGAGUACAGGAGAGGAGAGUGGAAUUCCACAUGUAGCGGUGAAAUGCGUAGAUAUGUGGAGGAACACCAAUGGCGAAGGCAGCUCUCUGGCCUGAUACUGACGCUGAGGUGCGAAAGCGUGGGGAGCAAACAGGAUUAGAUACCCGGGUAGUC